AUCACUUCUCAGCCUUUUGGCUAAGAUCAAGGGUAGUAUCUGUUCUUAUCAGUCUAAAAACAAGCACUGAGUUGAAAGAUGAGUUCAAACACCGUUGCCUGUAUUCAAAGAACAGAGGAAAAAUACCUAAC
rnacentral:snRNA from 1 species